rnacentral:rRNA from 1 species
UACGUAGGGGGCUAGCGUUGUCCGGCUUUAUUGGGCGUAAAGAGCUCGUAGGCGGUGUGUCGCGUCGGCCGUGAAAACCUGCAGCUUAACUGUGGGCUUGCGGUCGAUACGGGCAUCACUGGAGUUCGGCAGGGGAGACUGGAAUUCCUGGUGUAGCGGUGAAAUGCGCAGAUAUCAGGAGGAACACCGGUGGCGAAGGCGGUCUGCUGGGCCGUUGCUGACGCUGAGGCGCGACAGCGUGGGGAGCAAACAGG